CUUUGCCAGUCGUGACGGCCUAUAGCUAGAUCUUCACAAUUUGACUCCUGCAAUCGGCCUUGUUGUGACUUCUCGGUGAAGACGAGCUCUAUAGUCAACUACAUAAGAUGUUGAAGACUCUCAUCAUACUUUCCCUCGUCUUAUGGGUGGAGGCUGUUCAGAUGCAGCCAGCAUUCCGGGAUUCGU